UGUUCUAUGAAAAAGGGACAGACAAUGAGACUGUAUUUUCUGAUAUUGCCUUUUAUGACAAUUUAGUAUUGCUAAUUCAAGUUCCCAAAUAUUCACUUUGGUAUUGGCAAAGACAUAAUUCAGGUGCUAUACUGCUAUCAUUUUUAUUAAGCCAACUAAUUUAGAAAAGAUUUUGAGAUUUGAGAAGCUUGUAACAAUGACAGCAGGAAUGUUCGGUGGUGGUUUAGUGUAGGAAAGUCGUGACCUUUCAAGUUUUGAAAACAAACAUUGUUAAUUGAAGAGGUAGGUGUAAUUUAUUUUAAGAGAACUUAGGGGAGAGGUUAGCUUCUUUGUGGCAUAGAUCUUUGCCUUGCUGAAGAAUCCCAACAACCGUAGGAGGAGGAUUAGGAUACGUUGAAGAUAUAUGAUGUAUAUUACUUUCCAGCGUAGUUCUCAACUGCUGAUUAAGUCAGAUCGCUCGAGUCCCUGCUAGUUCAGGUAGUAAUUAUUUAGAUUACAAAAAGAUUGAAUCCAACAUCAUUAAGUGCCCUGGCAACCUAAGGAAGUAAAGUUGAUCAAGAUAAGUUCGACACUACUGGAUACAUCAAUGUCGCUGCUACUUUCAUCAUAUUCAACUUCUCUCCUUCUCUCAACUUCAAAUAAUUAAAGAUCAACCAAAAAUAUCUUCUAAAUUGAAGAGAUAUGAUGCAUAUUACUUUCCAGCAUUGUUGUCGACUGCAAAUUAAGUCAGAUCGCUCGAGUCCCUGCUAGCUCAGGAAUCAGGUCAUAAAAAAGUUACGGCUAUUAUUUAGAUUACAAAAAGAUUGAAUCCAACAUGCGAGGAGAUUGAGAGUGACCUGGCAACCUAAGGAAGUAAAGUUGAUCAAGAUAAGUUCGACACUACUGGAUACAUCAAUGUCGCUUGUUAGUUCAGUUCGAUCUUAAUCUUUCACUUCAUAUGGAUAUGUUAUAGGCAUCUAGUUAGUCGACAGUGUUUUUGCAAAUUGUUCUGAUCCGUUAAUUUAUCACUUU